GACGAACGCUGGCGGCGUGCUUAACACAUGCAAGUCGAACGGUGAACCUCUUCGGAGGGGAUCAGUGGCGAACGGGUGAGUAACACGUGGGCAACCUGCCCCCGGCUCUGGGAUAACUCCAAGAAAUUGGGGCUAAUACCGGAUGUUCACCGCUUCCCGCAUGGGUGGGGGUGGAAAGGGUUUCCGGCUGGGGAUGGGCCCGCGGCCUAUCAGCUUGUUGGUGGGGUAGUGGCCUACCAAGGCGAGGACGGGUAGCCGGCCUGAGAGGGUGACCGGCCACACUGGGACUGAGACACGGCCCAGACUCCUACGGGAGGCAGCAGUGGGGAAUAUUGCGCAAUGGGCGGAAGCCUGACGCAGCGACGCCGCGUGGGGGAUGACGGCCUUCGGGUUGUAAACCUCUUUCAGCAGGGACGAAGCGCAAGUGACGGUACCUGCAGAAGAAGCACCGGCCAACUACGUG
rnacentral:rRNA from 1 species